UGAACUUUGUGGUGAGCUAAAACUGAUUAAUUGUGCAUAAUAAUUUAUAGUAGCAGUAAUUGAACUAUUUUGGUCGCUGAUCUCAAAAGAGGUUAAGGCUAAUCACCCAAAGAUUAUCAGCUUGCUGGGGUUGUUGCGGUUGAAGUCACAGGAGGGCCAACCAUCGACUUUGUUCCAGGAAGAAUGGAUUGCGCAGAUUCUCCUGAUGAAGGACGCCUUCCUGAUGCAAAUCAAGGUGCCGGACAUUUGAGAGAAAUCUUUUACAGAAUGGGGCUUUCUGACAAGGAUAUUGUCGCGCU